AUCGGUUCAUGCGACGACGGGUAGCCGGCCUGAGAGGGUGACCGGCCACACUGGGACUGAGACACGGCCCAGACUCCUACGGGAGGCAGCAGUGGGGAAUAUUGCGCAAUGGGCGAAAGCCUGAUGCAGCGACGCCGCGUGGGGGAUGACGGCCUUCGGGUUGUAAACCUCUUUCAGCAGGGACGAAGCGAAAGUGACGGUACCUGCAGAAGAAGCACCGGCUAACUACGUGC
rnacentral:rRNA from 1 species